GCAGACGGGUGAGUAACGCGUGGGAACAUACCUUUUGGUUCGGAACAACACAGGGAAACUUGUGCUAAUACCGGAUAAGCCCUUACGGGGAAAGAUUUAUCGCCGAAAGAUUGGCCCGCGUCUGAUUAGCUAGUUGGCGGGGUAACGGCCCACCAAGGCGAAGAUCGGUAGCCGGCCUGAGAGGGCACACGGCCACACUGGCACUGAAACACGGGCCAGACUCCUACGGGAGGCAGCAGUGGGGAAUCUUGCACAAUGGAGGCAACUCUGAUGCAGCGACGCCGCGUGAGCGAUGAAGCCCUUCGGGGUGUAAAGCUCUUUCGACGGGAACGAUAAUGACGGUACCCGAAGAAGAAGCUGCGGUAACUACGUGCCAGCAGCCGCGGUAAUACGUAGGCAGCGAGCGUUGUUCGGAAUUACUGGGCGUAAAGAGUGCGUAGGCGGUGCUCUAAGUCUGUUGUGAAAUCUCCCGGCUUAACUGGGAGGGUGCGGCGGAAACUAGAGUGCUAGAGUGUGGGAGAGGUAAGCGGAAUUCCUGGUGUACGGUGAAAU
rnacentral:rRNA from 1 species